rnacentral:rRNA from 1 species
AUCGAUGAAGAACGCAGCGAAAUGCGAUAAGUAAUGUGAAUUGCAGAAUUCAGUGAAUCAUCGAAUCUUUGAACGCACAUUGCGCCCCUUGGUAUUCCGAGGGGCAUGCCUGUUCGAGCGUCAUUACAACCCUCAAGCAUAGCUUGGUCUUGGGCUCCGCUGCUCACCCAGCGGGCCUUAAAAUCAGUGGCGGUGCCGUCGAGGCCCUGAGCGUAGUAAAUAUCCUCGCUUUAGGGACCCGGUGGACACUGGCCAUCAACCCCCAACUUUCUAAGUUUGACCUCGGAUCAGGUAGGGAUACCCGCUGAACUUAAGCAUAUCAAUAAGCGGAGGAAAAGAAACCAACAGGGAUUGCCUCAGUAACGGCGAGUGAAGCGGCAACAGCUCAAAUUUGAAAUCUGGCUCUUUCAGGGUCCGAGUUGUAAUUUGUAGAAGAUGCUUCGGGUGUGGCUCCGGUCUAAGUUCCUUGGAACAGGACGUCAUAGAGGGUGAGAAUCCCGUAUGUGACUGGUUGCCUUCGCCUAUGUGAAGCUCUUUCGACGAGUCGAGUUGUUUGGGAAUGCAGCUCAAAAUGGGUGGUAAAUUUCAUCUAAAGCUAAAUAUUGGCCAGAGACCGAUAGCGCACAAGUAGAGUGAUCGAAAGAUGAAAAGCACUUUGGAAAGAGAGUUAAACAGUACGUGAAAUUGUUGAAAGGGAAGCGCUUGCAACCAGACUUGCACGCGGUUAAUCAUCUGGUGUUCUCACCGGUGCACUUGACCGCGUUCAGGCCAGCAUCGGUUUAGGUGGUGGGAUAAAGGCCUUGGGAAUGUAGCUUCUUUCGGGGAGUGUUAUAGCCCUCGGUGUAAUGCCGCCUACCUGGACCGAGGACCGCGCUUCGGCUAGGAUGCUGGCGUAAUGGUUGUAAGCGACCCGUCUUGAAACACGG